CACUCUAAGCGGUGGAUCACUCGGCUCAUGGGUCGAUGAAGAACGCAGCAAACUGUGCGUCAUCGUGUGAACUGCAGGACACAUGAACAUCGACAUUUUGAACGCAUAUCGCAGUCCAUAAUUUUCUUUU
rnacentral:rRNA from 1 species